rfam:Firmicutes bacterium CAG:129_59_24 Ley3_66761_scaffold_629, whole genome shotgun sequence.
UACAUCGUCCGGUAGGUAAGGCUACCACAAGGAUACGGACUGCUGCCGCGGAGUAGUGGAGACACUAUGAGAGGGUUUGAACAGGUUGCAUCGAAAGCAAGGUGCCAUCUAAUGCAGUUUCACCGCCUCGUGAUGCUAAAGCUUGAACGGUAAAGAAA